rnacentral:rRNA from 1 species
UACGUAGGGUGCGAGCGUUGUCCGGAAUUAUUGGGCGUAAAGGGCUCGUAGGCGGUUUGUCGCGUCGGGAGUGAAAUCCACUGGCUUAACUGGUGGCUUGCUUCGAUACGGGCAGACUGGAGGUAUGCAGGGGAGAACGAAUUCCUGGUGUAGCGGUGAAAUGCGCAGAUAUCAGGAGGAACACCGGUGGCGAAGGCGGUUCUCUGGGCAUGUCCUGACGCUGAGGAGCGAAAGUGUGGGGGAGCGAAACGG